GUGGGGGAUAUUGCACAAUGGGGGAAACCCUGAUGCAGCGACGCCGCGUGAGUGAAGAAGUAUUUCGGUAUGUAAAGCUCUAUCAGCAGGAAAGAUAAUGACGGUACCUGACUAAGAAGCACCGGCUAAAUACGUGCCAGCAGCCGCGGUAAUACGUAUGGUGCAAGCGUUAUCCGGAUUUACUGGGUGUAAAGGGAGCGCAGACGGCAUGGCAAGCCAGAUGUGAAAGGUGGGGGCUCAACCCCCAAGCUGCAUUUGGAACUGUCAAGCUAGAGUAUCGGAGAGGUAAGUGGAAUUCCUAGUGUAGCGGUGAAAUGCGUAGAUAUUAGGAGGAACACCAGUGGCGAAGGCGGCUUACUGGACGAUAACUGACGUUGAGGCUCGAAAGCGUGGGGAGCAAACAGGAUUAGAAACCCUAGUAGUCC
rnacentral:rRNA from 1 species